CCCGUAGCUAACGUGAUAAAUCGACCGCCUGGGGAGUACGGCCGCAAGGUUAAAACUCAAAUGAAUUGACGGGGGCCCGCACAAGCGGUGGAGCAUGUGGUUUAAUUCGAUGCAACGCGAAGAACCUUACCUACUCUUGACAUCCUAAGAAGCUUUCAGAGAUGAGAGUGUGCCUUCGGGAACUUAGAGACAGGUGCUGCAUGGCUGUCGUCAGCUCGUGUUGUGAAAUGUUGGGUUAAGUCCCGCAACGAGCGC
rnacentral:rRNA from 1 species